rnacentral:lncRNA from 1 species
CUGGACCGUAACCCUCGCUUGCAAUGGCUGCGUCUUUGGUCGGGAAGAAGAUCGUGUUUGUGACGGGAAACGCCAAGAAGCUGGAGGAGGUGUUGUGGGGUGUGGAGACUGUCUCGGAGGCGGGUGGUGAUUGGGCUGCUGGGCUUUCACCAGGGAUGCACGGGAGAGAAGGCGGGAAACGAGGCUACGAGUUGUAGCCUCGGGGAGUGUGGGGUUUGCCCCUGGCUGUGUUGAAGGUCUGGGCUUGGGGAGAGACCGCCGUGGAGUGUGGCGCCUUGAGGGUCAGAGGAAUUUUUUUUUUAUAUAUAUAAUCAUUAUUUUGGAGAUAAUGACUCGUGUAGUCCAGGCUAGUCUGACCCUGUUGUGUAGCCAGAACUGACUUUAUUCUCUUGACCCUCCUGGCUUCCGAAUUCUGGGGCUGCACGCAUGCUCCACCUCACGAGUUUUUUAGAUGAGCUGGUAAAGUCAGCAGGCUAUAGGAGCUGGAGUAGUGACAUGUGUGACAAAGAUAAAUUACCCCUGAAGCCCUAGAUUUUAAACCUGAGUUCAGACACCUCCCCUCCUGAAAAGCAGUGUGUGUGUGUGGGGGGGGGGUAAUGGAGGGAUGUUGAUCCAAAUUGAGUAUAGUUCCAUCUACCCUUCCAUAUCUGAGAUGUGUAAUACCUCAUAAGAAUCAUGGCUGACAUGAAUGAGGAAAGGCACUUGCCAGUCAAGACUGACCUGAGUUCAAUCCCCAGGACACAUGGGAAAGCCAGAUGUGUGUAGCAGCACACUUCUGUAACUCCUCAAGAUGGGAGGGAGAGGCUGAAGAAUCCUCAAAGCUUGAAAGCUAGCCAACUUGAGGUACCCAUAGCAGCAGAAAUGCUGCCUACCAAUUCACUGCAUUCUUAAACUGAGGACAAAGGGACCUUUAAUCCAAGUUACACCAGGCAAAUGUUCCUCUUUCUGCCAUUUUUUCAUGACAACCUGAUAAUCCAAAACUGGCUAUAGUGAACCUUUUAUUCUGCUUGCUUUGGGACAUAAAGCUAGUCUAAAAGUAUGCUUGGCAGCGCUUCCUGAAAUGAACACAUCUCAGUAUGUGUUUUCCAGAAUCCCAUGCUGUGGUCAUCAUAUCCUCCUCCAUCUGCCUCUCUCUAAAGCAUGAGGCACUCACAGGCGUUUCUUAGUAGGGUUUGGCACGGUAGCUCUGACAAGGUUUCACUUUCUGGGAGAAUAACACUGUUGUGUUAUAGAUAAAAGUCAGCAGUAGAAAGACUCGGGUUU